ACGUUUCACGUGACAAAUUUCAAUAUGGCGUCUGUGCUCCGAUCUCUCGAUUUAGCUGCAAGUGCCAAAUCAUUGGUGUCUUAUCAAAGUGAUUAUUCUGAUGAAGAGAGAAGUAAUAAUGAUAAAUCUAAAGAAGAUGAAAAGUCAAUCGAGAGAACUGUCAAUAUGGAUGGUCUAAAAUCUAAGUUUCUUUUAAACAGUGCGCCAAUUGUUGAUGCUAAGGUAAAGUGUAAUAGUUUUUAUCCAAAGUCCUAACUAGGCAACUACCAACACCAAAGCAAAAUCUAUGAUACGAUUUGCUAUGCUUUAAAGAAGGAAUUGAUUGGAAAAGACACAUCGAUCCUUCAAUGAAAGAAGUUACAUUUAAGGCAAAGUAUGACGAACUCUUUUCUGCUUCGGUACGUUAAUAAUUUAAUCAUUGUCACCAUUUACAUGCACAUGGACAAAAUCAUGAUUUUGAAGAAGUCUACUAUUUUAGGUUGGACCUCAAAAUCCAUUUAAAGCGAAGCAGCAAAGAGCACAUAAAAAUAUGUUGUCUGGCUAUGUUAAGCCAGCUCAUAUCAGUAAAUUUCAAUUUGAUAAUCAACAAAAACAUUUUCAAGUUACGGUUAGAGGAAAAGCAAGCAUAGUUUGAGAAAAAAUGUAUUUGUUAAUGAGUUAUGUGUGAUCUUUUUGUUUUUAAUAAAUCACAGGUUAUGCAUUAGAUCCAAGUGAUGACACAGCUCACAUUGAAGAGAAGACCAUGGAGUAAGUUUGUUGAUGAAGAAACUAUUGCUAAACCAUCUGAGGAAGAGUCAACAAUACUUGAGGAGUAUGAAUUAUCGAAGAAAAACAAAUCAAAGAAAGAUGAUAUGAAACCUUCAGAAGAGAAAUCCACAUUACACAUUAAAGAUGCAUAUGACUAUCAAGGAAGAUCAUAUCUUCACAUUCCACAAGAUCUUGGCAUUAAUCUCAAGUCAGAUACUCCUCCAGAACGAUGCUUUCUACCAAAACAACAUAUUCAUACGUGGUCUGGUCACACUAAAGGUGUUUCUGCAAUAAGAUUCUUUCCGAAAUCUGCUCAUCUUCUUCUGUCGUGUAGCAUGGAUUGUAAAAUUAAGAAACUGCAAGAUGAUAUUCAUGUAAGCGCCAACGGCUCUGUUUUUGUAAAAUGUAACAUAAGACGAGGAAUUUUGCCCAGAAUGUUAGAGGAGAUAUUAUACACACGUAUUAUGGUGAAGAAAGCCACGAAAAAGUGUCAAGAUGAUAAAACUCUUCUUCAACUUCUUGAUGCUCGACAACUUGCUUUAAAGUUGAUUACAAAUGUCACUUAUAGUUACACAUCCCCAAACUUCUCAGGGCGAAUGCCUUGUGUUGAGGUAACUUAUGGUUACACAUCAGCAAACUUCUCAGGACGAAUGCCGUGUGUUGAGAUUGCUGACGCCAUUGUUCGUAAAGCACGCGAGACCCUGGAACGAGCUAUCAAUCUCGUGAACACAAGGGAUGAGUGGGGUGGUCGUGUGGUAAUAUAGGACACCGAUAGACUUUUCGUAUUAGUAAAAGGUGCCAGUAAAGAGGAAGCGUUUAAGAUUGGAAAAGAAAUUGUUGAUGCUGUUACUGCAGAGAAUCCUAAACCUGUGAAACUAAAGUUUGAAAGCGUUCGAUUUCUCGGUUUUUUACAACUCUACACUGUCCUGUAUGUGAACAAUUAACACAGCACGGUUUGUGUCAAAAGAAUAUUUGUUCUAUUAUUCGACAAAUAUUCUUUUGUUUUUGGACCACUAACAUUGUUUCAUUGUAGCUCAUUAUUUUCGAUAUCAACAGACACAUAAAGGCAAGCAAAAGAUUAACUAAGCAUAGACGAACAAACAACGAAACAUGCAACAUAGAUAUCAAAAUAAGCCAAAUAACAAAUAGUGACUUUUAAACAACUUUCAUGUUAUUAAAAUUUUUAUUUCUUCAAUUCAUUUACCGUUUCAUCAGGUUGGUUGCUGACGCAUUCGACAAUUGUUUGUUUAAUGUUCUUAUAACGUUUUAAAGUUUCCUUUUAAUAAUUAUACAGGAUGUAUCAUUGAAACAUUCUUUAUACAAUGAUAAUUUCUAAAAAAUAGGCACUCGAUGAGUACGUAAGGAUUUGCUUUUUUAUGAUUGACAAUUACAAAAUACCAGUAUGAUUGAUAUAAUCUGACAAAAA